rnacentral:rRNA from 1 species
GACGAACGCUGGCGGCGUGCUUAACACAUGCAAGUCGAACGGCAAGGCCCUGCUUUUGUGGGGUGCUCGAGUGGCGAACGGGUGAGUAACACGUGAGUAACCUGCCCUUGACUUUGGGAUAACUUCAGGAAACUGGGGCUAAUACCGGAUCGGAGCUCCUGCUGCAUGGUGGGGGUUGGAAAGUUUCGGCGGUUGGGGAUGGACUCGCGGCUUAUCAGCUUGUUGGUGGGGUAGUGGCUUACCAAGGCUUUGACGGGUAGCCGGCCUGAGAGGGUGACCGGCCACAUGGGGACUGAGAGACGGCCCAGACGCCUACUGGAGGCAGCAGUGGGGAAUAUUGCACAAUGGGCGGAAGCCUGAUGCAGCAACGCCGCGUGCGGGAUGACGGCCUGCGGGGUGUAAACCGCUUUCGCCUGUGACGAAGCGUGAGUGACGGUAAUGGGUAAAGAAGCACCGGCUAACUACGUG